UACGGAGGGGGCGAGUGUUGUUCGGAAUUACUGGGCGUAAAGGGCUCGUAGGCGGCCAACUAAGUCAGACGUGAAAUCCCUCGGCUUAACCGGGGAACUGCGUCUGAUACUGGAUGGCUUGAGAUUGGGAGAGGGAUGCGGAAUUCCAGGUGUAGCGGUGAAAUGCGUAGAUAUCUGGAGGAACACCGGUGGCGAAGGCGGCAUCCUGGACCAACACUGACGCUGAGGAGCGAAAGCCAGGGGAGCAAACGGG
rnacentral:rRNA from 1 species